GGGAGAAUCUUCCGCAAUGGACGAAAGUCUGACGGAGCAACGCCGCGUGAACGAUGAAGGCUUUCGGGUCGUAAAGUUCUGUUGUUAGGGAAGAACAAGUACCGGAUUAACUGCCGGUACCUUGACGGUACCUGACCAAAAAGCCACGGCUAACUACGUGCCAGCAGCCGCGGUAAUUAAAAAAAA
rnacentral:rRNA from 1 species